GUGCACGCUGGCGGUAGGCCUCACCCCUGCAAGUCGCACGGCAGCACAGUAAGAGCUUGCUCUUACGGGUGGCGAGUGGCGGACGGGUGAGGAAUACAUCGGAAUCUACUUUUUCGUGGGGGAUAACGUAGGGAAACUUACGCUAAUACCGCAUACGACCUACGGGUGAAAGCAGGGGAUCUUCGGACCUUGCGCGAUUGAAUGAGCCGAUGUCGGAUUAGCUAGUUGGCGGGGUAAAGGCCCACCAAGGCGACGAUCCGUAGCUGGUCUGAGAGGAUGAUCAGCCACACUGGAACUGAGACACGGUCCAGACUCCUACGGGAGGCAGCAGCGGGGAAUAUUGGACAAUGGGCGCAAGCCUGAUCCAGCCAUACCGCGUGGGUGAAGAAGGCCUUCGGGUUGUAAAGCCCUUUUGUUGGGAAAGAAAAGCAGCAGGUUAAUACCCCGCUGUUCUGACGGUACCCAAAGAAUAAGCACCGGCUAACUUCGUG
rnacentral:rRNA from 1 species